AGGGGCAGCAUUGGAGUAGCAAUACUCAGAUGGCGACCGGCGCACGGGUGAGUAACACGUAUCCAACCUGCCGCUUACUCGGGGAUAGCCUUUCGAAAGAAAGAUUAAUACCCGAUGGUAUAAAGAGUUCGCAUGUUCUCUUUAUUAAAGAAUUCGGUAAGCGAUGGGGAUGCGUUCCAUUAGAUAGUUGGCGGGGUAACGGCCCACCAAGUCUACGAUGGAUAGGGGUUCUGAGAGGAAGGUCCCCCCACAUUGGUACUGAGACACGGACCAGACUCCUACGGGAGGCAGCAGUGAGGAAUAUUGGUCAAUGGACGAGAGUCUGAACCAGCCAAGUCGCGUGCAGGAAGAAUGUCCCUAUGGAUUGUAAACUGCUUUUGCAGGGGAAUAAAGUGCAUCACGUGUGAUGUUUUGUAUGUACUCUGCGAAUAAGGAUCGGCUAACUCCGUGCCAGCCGCCGC
rnacentral:rRNA from 1 species